AGCCUGUCAAGAUCUUCAGCAGAUGUUUGAGCAAAAAGUCAUCAUCCUCUUCGUCACUCUUCAUCCGUAUUUGGGGUAACAAGCACCUGCUUCCGACUGGACAGCUGAUGUCAGACCUGCACCUUCCUUGAACAUGUUGGUAUCUUACUCUGUAUUUGUUCACGGUGGUCACCCCAGGGUCUCAGGACUCAAAUUGAGUGCUCUAUGGAUUAAACAGAAAAUGCAGUAUAAACAAGUGUUAUGUUGUCUUGAACAUGUUGGUAACUUACUCUGUAUUUGUUCACGGUGGUCACCCUAGGGUCUCAGGACUCAAAACGAGUGCUCUAUGGAUUGAACAUAAAAUGUAGUAUAAACAAGUGUUAUGUUUUUAAAUGCCACUAAUAAUGUGUUUCUGUUUUCUUUCUCAUUAUGCUAACAAACACUCUUUUACCCCUCAUGUUAGGUAGAUCAACACUCCAACCAUCUGCAUUAGGGACUGAAUAAAGGAUGCCCUCUGUAGCUGGGAAUGUUAGAUCAGGCGGAUCAACAUUCCAUCCAUCUGCAUUAGGAUCUACCUUAGAGACACUCACUGGAGCUGUAAAUGGGAAGCAGGUCACUUACUUUGCAUUCGUCCUUGGUGGUCACCCAAGGGUCUCUAGAGUGAAAAUUACUCAAUCUAUGGAUUAAACAGAAAAUUUAGUUGUAUGAAGUGCAAUUUGGGACAUUCUUCCAGUUGUCGGCAACUUUGUGAAAAAGGCUGGAAACUUAAAUGCAGAAUUCUGGCCUGGUGUUUGGUCUGUGCUGUCUUUGGCUCUUGCAUCUCCAUCAUCCUGACCCUCUUUAGCAGCCUGUCCAUGUAUUUAUUUGGAGGCCACCAUGAGCACCCAUCUGCAUAAUAUGACUUUGUUAC